UACGAAGGGUGCAAGCGUUACUCGGAAUUACUGGGCGUAAAGGGUGCGUAGGCGGGUUUUUAAGUCAGGGGUGAAAUCCCUGAGCUUAACUCAGGACGUGCCUUGGAAACGGCGUAACUAGAGUACUAGAGAGGUUCGUGGAAUUCUUGGUGUAGCGGUGAAAUGCGUAGAGAUCAAGAGGAACAUCAGUGGCGAAGGCGACGAACUGGAUAGUAACUGACACUCAACAACGAAAGCGUGGGGAGCAAACAGG
rnacentral:rRNA from 1 species